rnacentral:rRNA from 1 species
CUGCUGCCUCCCGUAGGAGUUUGGACCGUGUCUCAGUUCCAAUGUGGGGGACCUUCCUCUCAGAACCCCUACGCAUCGUCGGCUUGGUGGGCCGUUACCCCACCAACUAGCUAAUCAGACGCGAGGCCAUCUUUCGGCGAUAAAUCUUUGACAUCCAUGCCAUGCGACACGAAUGUAUCAUGCGGUAUUAGCAGUCGUUUCCAACUGUUGUCCCCCUCCGAAAGGCAGGUUCCUCACGCGUUACUCACCAGUCCCG